rnacentral:lncRNA from 1 species
GUAAAGGAACUGAUACCGUUAAGAGCAAGCUUGAUGAAGCUUGAUAGGUAGAGGAAUUGACUCUGACACAAACCAAUAGAACCAGAGUUAAUUAGAUCAAUUUUAAAGUCUGAUGUAAAGGCAUCCUUGAGUAGAUAUGGUAGAGUACCGUAUCAGCUGAAUAGAUCUUCAGUUUUUAAAUUCGAGAUGAAAAUUUGAUCUUCCAUACGGAUGCAAUAUAGGGAUCUAACUUUGAGAAGUGGUUUGGAGCUAUUAAAUCUGAAAUGAAGUCCAUAA